rnacentral:rRNA from 1 species
UAGAGUUUGAUCAUGGCUCAGAGUGAACGCUGGCGGUAGGCCUAACACAUGCAAGUCGAACGGCAGCACAGUAAGAGCUUGCUCUUACGGGUGGCGAGUGGCGGACGGGUGAGGAAUACAUCGGAAUCUACUCUGUCGUGGGGGAUAACGUAGGGAAACUUACGCUAAUACCGCAUACGACCUACGGGUGAAAGCAGGGGAUCUUCGGACCUUGCGCGAUUGAAUGAGCCGAUGUCGGAUUAGCUAGUUGGCGGGGUAAAGGCCCACCAAGGCGACGAUCCGUAGCUGGUCUGAGAGGAUGAUCAGCCACACUGGAACUGAGACACGGUCCAGACUCCUACGGGAGGCAGCAGUGGGGAAUAUUGGACAAUGGGCGCAAGCCUGAUCCAGCCAUACCGCGUGGGUGAAGAAGGCCUUCGGGUUGUAAAGCCCUUUUGUUGGGAAAGAAAUCCAGCCGGCUAAUACCUGGUU